CCUACGGGUGGCAGCAGUGAGGAAUAUUGGUCAAUGGGCGAGAGUCUGAACCAGCCAAGUCGCGUGAGGGAUGACUGCCCUAUGGGUUGUAAACUUCUUUUAUAUGGGAAUAAAACAGGGUAUGCGUAGUCUCUUGUCUGUACCAUAUGAAUAAGCAUCGGCUAACUCCGUGCCAGCAGCCGCGGUAAUACGGAGGAUCCGAGCGUUAUCCGGAUUUAGUGGGUUUACAGGGUGCGUAGGGGGUAGUUUAAGUUAGUGGUAAAAGGUUGGGGCUAAACCUUAAAUUGCAAUUGAAACCGGGAGACUUGAGUACAGAAGAGGUGGGCGGAAUUCGUGGUGUAGCGGUGAAAUGCUUAGAUAUCACGAAGAACUCCGAUUGCGAAGGCAGCUCACUGGACUGCAACUGACACUGAUGCACGAAAGUGUGGGUAGCAAACAGGAUUAGAUACCCUUGUAGUC
rnacentral:rRNA from 1 species